rnacentral:rRNA from 1 species
CCUACGGGCGGCAGCAGUGAGGAAUAUUGGUCAAUGGACGAGAGUCUGAACCAGCCAAGUAGCGUGAAGGAUGACUGCCCUAUGGGUUGUAAACUUCUUUUAUAAAGGAAUAAAACGAGGCACGUGUGCCUUUUUGCAUGGACUUUAUGAAUAAGGAUCGGCUAACUCCGUGCCAGCAGCCGCGGUAAUACGGAGGAUCCGAGCGUUCUCCGGAUUUAUUGGGUUUAAAGGGAGCGUAGAGGGGUUGUGAAGUCAGUUGUGAAAGUUUGCGGCUCCACCGUAAAAUUGCAAUUGUUACUUGCAGUCUUGAGUACAGUUGAGGUCGGCGGCAUUCGUGGUGUAGCGGU